rnacentral:lncRNA from 10 species
GAAAUGGAAGGGCAAGCAGGAGCCAAGAGAUGCAGCUAACUGGGCUCCAAACUGUAAAGAGAAGCAAGGAUAAAAUAAAGAGAGACAGAGAGAUGGGAACAGCGAACCCCAAGCUGUGCCUUGGGAUGUUGACAUUUUUGAAGAAUACAGUCCUCUCUGCUGUUUUUUAGUAGAACAUUCUUCACCUUGUAUUUGACAGAUGUUCCCUUGUGUUUGGACAAAGGCUGUGCAUUCUUGGCUGGAUUACUGCAUAGGUGACGGCCACCUGUCCCUCACUGGAAUGGGGAGUCACUGUGCAGUGAAGGACCUCCCCAGAGGAGGUGCUGAGGGGAUGGGCAAGAGGCAGCAAGAACACUUAGGAGGCCUUGCCAUUGUGCUGGCUGAAGACGGAGUUAUUCAUACAACAAGGGCAGAAAUCUCAACAAUCAAGGAGGCCAUCAUUAGGCCAAGGUUGGCCUAGACCUUGACCUGCAGAUUUACAGUGCAGCCAGGAAACAUCCCUUUUUCUGGGAAACCCUGAGCAUGAUACUUCCUCUCUUGCCAACCUGGUGUUGCCAUCAGCACUUCUGUUGCAUAAACAGAUGGCGCCUUAGAGACCCUGAGAGCUUAAGAUUCACCCUAAGGCCAGAGCUGGCAACUGGCAGAACCCAAACUUGAUCCAGGUAUGGCUCCAGGUACAGAGCAAGGGCGCCCUCACUUCCUGACGCAGCUGCUGCACUCCCCAGGGUCCAAGCGGAAGAGGAACCAUGGACUUGACCAGAGCAGCCUGGGUGGAGACCCGAGCGGCCUGGAGCACCACCCCGGCUCCCCUGUGGACCUGCUGUGGUCUGAGCAAGUUGGUUGACACUGUGAGAAAGGGCUUCCCUUCCUUGGAAGAAACAGCCAUAUACAUUUUAAAUCCACAAAAAAACUCCAGCUCAUCAAGACGGCAAAUUUUCCUGCCCGGUGAAAUGAGGUAGCCCCGUAAAGACACUAGGAGAGGAAGGGAGUCACUUUGUUCCUGAGGCUGGGUGUGCGUAGUUCCACCACUUCCCACCACGUCAUUGCUUGGGAGUAAGGCCUCCAUGGGGGCUGGCUGAUCCAGGCGGGAUCUGGGGCAGGCAUCCUUACUUCAUACAAAAGUCUCCCCAGGAACCUGUCCAGAGUAGCCGCGGCUCCAUUUAAAAGCACGAUUUAACAAGGUCCUUGUUCCUCAUACUGCAGGGGUUUGCAAACCAAGGGACCACAGCAUUUUAGCAGCACUACCUGCAGGCCCUCCUGGGUGAACUAGGGCUUAGGGCAGGGGGAACAGGCCGUGAUGGGGAAGAUUUGUGGUCUGAGGACAGAGAUGGUCAUGAUGACAGAAGGAGAGCUUGCUUUGACCAGAGCUGUGGCUCAUAGCAGGCAAGUCACUCCACCGCCAGCGUCAGCAUGGGCCUGCAGGCAGGAGCCAUGCAGCCCGCAGCUUCUCUCUGCAGCUGAUCCACUGCUAGCACACAAGCACGGUGGUUGGGCUGAGACUCGGGGUUCUUAUUUCCCAUCACUGUCCUUCUAGGACAUGUCAUGCUCAAAACUUGGCUUUAUGUCAACAGGACCUUUAUGGCAGGAAGCAGUGUGACCAGAGAUAGUCAGUCCCCAACCAGAGGCAUAUCACCAGCGCCCUGCCAAGGUCUUCCACAUGUUACCUAAUUUAGUCUCCUCAGUUCGUAUGCCCCAUUUUACAGAGAAAACCAAGAUUCAGAUCAAUUUGUUUGCUCAAAGUCACCCAGCUAGUAAGUGGUAGAACUGGGGUUUGAAAUGAGGCCUCCGAGACUCUAUCUGAAACCUGGACUUUGUGCCUUCAAAGCCCACAAUCUCUCCACUUCACCCCAGAGCAAUAAAGGGGAAGAAACCUGGAAAGGAGAGGCUUCCCAAAGUGAGUCAGGGAUUAAGCAAGGAGGUCACGGUGCCUCCCUGGUCAGUCCUGUCAUGCUUGAUCCUAUUUAACCAGGCAAAGAUUCUUAUCCCCAUUUUACAGAUGAAGAAACUGAGGGUCAGAAAAGUGAAGGACUUGCCCAAGAUCACACAGCCAGAUUGGAAUCCAGGUGUCUUAAAAUCUGCCAAACUUGAGGUGCCUACUCUCUGUUAACCAGAACGGACUUUGACAGUUUUGACUGCAGUGAGAUGAUGGGACACAGAGUGGCAGGGCUGAGCACCCAAGGUUUUCUGACCCCCCAAUCCCUGGGAAUCCCAAAGGCAGCGCUUUGGAUUCCAGGGGUCCCUCUGCUGUUUCUGCCUCCUGACGCAGGCUCCCUGCCCACUGUUCUCCUGGAAGCAAUUGUGGGGGAUGCGCAUGAGUCUGUCUCCCUGGCAUGCAGUAGGUCUUCAGUAAUGUUUAAUGAAUAAUUCUAUGAACUACUAUUCAAAUGUCUCUUCACAAGGCUCCAUUUUCCCCCACAAUGUUCUUGCAAAAACUGUGGCUGUGAUGUCCUUAUACACAGAAAAUCAGGAACACCACAGCCCUGAGGAAACCACAGCCUCCUUCCACAUCCUUUGACUCGGGAUUCUACCGAUCAAGGUGAAAUGAGACCAGUUCUCUGGCCCAAUGGGGUUUGCCAGGUGCACAUCCGUUUGUUACAUAACAAGUAGGCCCCAAGCCAUGGACAAAUGGCUACUGUAUGAAUUACAGAUUUAUUGUUGAUGUCCACACUUCAUGAGGUUGAUUGCCACACGGGUGUCACAGAAGCUAAGCCACUUAAAACCCUGCCUGGAAAAACAACCCUCCUGGAUCCAGUGAUAAGCCCAGUUAUCUAAAGGGGCCAUGGCCCAUCACGGCUCCUAAAGGCCCGGAAGGUCGGUUCCUUUCCUCACCCUUCUUAGGGAAAACAGAGGGUGCACUUCACAUAACAGGGAGAGUGUGUACUUCACAUCUUCCAGCCACGAACCACAGCAUUUUUCUCCUGGAUCACAGAAGGGAUAGAACAGAGGGAGGAGACACAAGAGCCAUCUCUUUACACUUGCCUGGUGGAGUCGCCACUGAUUUACAAACUUCCUUUGAAAUGUGUUGAACGGUUUCUAUCAGCGCCUACAAACUAAGACAUUCCAGUCUUCAAAUCCACAGCAGCUUUGCAGAAACUAACGAGAUGGGUCUGUGUCACAUUAUAACAAGACAUUUCUACCUUGGGCCAUUCCCUGGGGUAAGAGGUCACGCUUUAAUCUCCUGUGAAUCCUGAAGAACAAUGUUUCACCACAAAAAGUAAUAGAGCUGCAUAUACAUUUUUUAAUGCAAAUGUCCUAAAUUGGCUGAUCCCUUUAGCCACUAACUGCAAAUAAGGUAGAAACAUCAAUUUGAAAAACAGUGAUAUCUUUAUUGAUAAUAUCAGACCACAAGAGGUGGCAGCCAAUAGAACACACCAACACAAGUCGCAGGUAUUAGAUCCAUUUUAUAAAUGAGGAGACUCUUAUUCUUUCAAGCUUGUUAUUUUCAUAAACUGGCAAGAUGGAUGAGAACUAAAAAAAGAAUGAUGUGCUGUGAAUUCUGUCACGCCUUAAAGAAUGUUCCCUAAGAGACAGGUAGCAGUGGCAGUAGAACUCAGCUUUGGCAUCCAGCCCGAAAGGGAAGACAGAAUUCCCAGGUACAGUCUCAAAUGCUGGCCGACAAACUUUGCAUAUUGUGUUCAACUUCCCUUACAAGGAAUAAAAUGUUAAAC